GGCAGCGGCAACUCAGUGGUUAAGGCUUUUGACUACUGAUCAAAAGGUUGUGAUUUCAAAUCCCAGAACCACCAAGCUGCCA
rnacentral:tRNA from 1 species